rnacentral:snoRNA from 1 species
AAGAGUAUACUGUCAAGGAUCAUUUCUAUAGUUUGUUACCAGAGAAAUUUCUCUGAUGUAGAGCACCCGUUUAACCAAAGAAGAGAAAGACCUGUACUCAGA